AAACCAUAAUCACAAAAAUCUCCAAAGUCCUUCGCAAACAAACAUUGUUUAUUCAUUUUCUAGUUACAGAACAAAAAUAUUAAUGCUACUUUAAAACACAGAUUUUGAUUUUUUUUCUCAAAGCAAAGCCUAUUUUGCAGAUACCCCAUCAUAAAUCACUGCUAUUUGUAAUAGUCACAUCCAUCAUUUGACCUUUCUACUGUAUAUAACAUGACAACAAAAAUCAUGCUCCAAAGAGAUAAUAUUCUUAUUAAAUUCUGUGUCCUAUUACAGUAUUUGGUUUUUAAAAUCAGUGAACUCUCACUUCAACAUUUUACUAAUAACAAGUGGCUAAUGCUUGAAAACAACAGAAAUGACCUUUUUCGGCCCCAUGUUAAUCCCUGUGUAAAGGACAAACAAGUGUUUUAGCAUAAACCAAUCCCAGAAUGUAACCAUGAUCUAAAAUAUACUAACAAUUAAACAAUAAUUCAGAGGCUUUGAUUUUAAGUACUCUGUGUAACAGAUUAAAAGAACGCCAUCCACGUAUUCCAGGAGAAAAACCAAUUAAGCCAACCAUAUAAUGAGCAAUGAUGCUCUCUCACAUCUGCCAGCAAAAACAAUCAACUUAGUCUAUCAUAGACUGGUAUGUUUCUACUCAGUAUUCUAUAUGGGUGACUUAAAUCAACAAACCAAGUGCACAGAACCAACACUUGGUUAUAUGGCUGUGAAGUAACAGCUUUAAGAACCAAAGAAAUGAAACACGUAACAUUCAGUCAUACCCUUAAUACCUUUGUUCCUCAGGCUCCCCAGGACCUGAAGGAAAUAAAUGGAUUUCCAACAACUCCAAUGAGGCAAAUAAGAGCAAACUAAAAUUAGCAUUCAUUUAUUCAUACUCUCAACAAAUAUUGAGUGCCUUCUGUAUUCUCAGCACAAUUUUGAAAUAAUGCACAAAUGUGCAAUGUUAUAACUAGAUUUUCAUAUUAACUUUUCCACUUGGUGUAUGAUUUUCCUUCCGUUCAUAAAUCUAAGCCUAGUUUUCUGGGCCAAAUAACAAAAACCUAAGAGAUUUCAUGAGAAGUGUGCAUGUGUGUGUGUGUGUGUGUGUGUGUAAAACAUACAGCCCAAAACUUAAUAGGUAUAUAAGUAUAUUCUUGGUUUCUUCAUUUGGGAAACUGUCAAUCAUGGUAAAGAUAUAUGAGCAUUUUGGCUAUAAUCUUACAAACUUUAUGUUAGCACUUUCUCAUCAACUGAUGUAUUAUAUCAAAUAGUAUUUCACUGCAUUAAUGCUUUAUGUAUCUAUUUCACAUUUUUACAUGAUAAAAAUACAACUUAAAAAAAUUUAUUCAUUAUUCAUGAUUAUAUCUUUAAGUAUAUGUAUAUUAAAUAUUUAUCAUUUUCCUAUUUUUCUAUAAUCCUAUUUAAGGGUCUGGCACAUGUUUAAUUUCACUCAUUUGAACAUUUAUUAAUGUAUAUAUUUAUUAAAAUAUUUAUAUUUAUAGUUUAUUCCUACUGAUUAUUUAUAGUUUAUUCUUAAUUUAUUCUUAUUAUUCUUCUUGAUUAAGAUGUUACAUUUAUUGAUUAUAUCUAUACAUUUUGUAAAUAGUUAAAUACAAAAAAACACAACAUAUAUGAUCCAUGAAGACACUGCUUCUGCCUACCUUAGUAAUUCUAUACAGCACUUCAAAAGCAACAACUUAAGGUCAAAAUGAAUAAGUUGAUAAUUGUUGUAGGACUUUUUUCAGUGAAUUGUGGAGUAUUCUGAUAGCCAAUAAAAGAGAAGAUGAAAGCAUUAUAUGUGUGUAAUAUUAUGAGUGGCUGCAGUUAUAAUUUUGAUUGAGAAAAAUAUCCAACAACAUUAAAUAGUUUUGAUAGUAUACAAGUCUCCUUUAUAAACGUACUCAUUCUUUUUUCGAACACUUGCGUGAAGUACACUAAAUUUAUAAGAAAAAAUAUUGACUAUGGUUUUACUUUAAGUAUUAUGAUGACUAUUAUUAUAUAUGCUACAUUUCAUUGUCUAUGCUAGGCAGGUGCUUUACAUGCAAUAACUAAUUCAUUAGUAAAAAUGGUGUAUUGAGAACAUACUAGAUUUUGAUGAAGUUCUAAGGUCAAAGGAAUAUUUGGUAGUUUUUAAAUUUUAUAAAUAAUUAAAGCAUUAUUUAAAAUAAUGCUGUGGUAAGCAUCUUUGCUAUAAGCAUUUUUGUACAUAUUAUUUAUAUUUUUCUUAGAAAAUAUAUUUUUAAAAGAAUCAGCAGGGCCAGAUUUAUUUGGUGCAUCACCACACCAUAUAUGCUGCUUUGCCCAGUGCUGCUAAAGCAUGCUCCCACACUAACAUACUAACAAACAAUCUCAUAGUUUUAAGUUGGCACAUUCUCCAUUUUCUCUGUGAUAGAAAAUCUUUUUAUAUUCAUGGCUAGCCUUAUUUCUUUUUCUACAAAUUACCUGUUCAAGUAUUCUUGAGGUCUCAUUGAGUAGUUAAUUUGCAAGCAACCUUUAUAUUCUCAAGUAAAUAAUAUUGUAUAGUUUUUUGUUAUAACACGUUCAAAAGAAAAAGAGAGCAGUAUUUGAAAUUAUCUUGCAUAUAUUUGUGAUGUUAUUUAACUAAAAUCUUAAGAUAUCCUUUAAAUUUCAAAAAUUAAGCACAACCGGCUGGGUGCGGUGGCUCACGCCUGUAAUCCCAGCACUUUG
rnacentral:lncRNA from 1 species